GCGUGAGUGAUGAAGGCCUUAGGGUUGUAAAGCUCUUUUACCCGGGAUGAUAAUGACAGUACCGGGAGAAUAAGCCCCGGCUAACUCCGUGCCAGCAGCCGCGGUAAUACGGAGGGGGCUAGCGUUGUUCGGAAUUACUGGGCGUAAAGCGCACGUAGGCGGCUUUGUAAGUUAGAGGUGAAAGCCCGGGGCUCAACUCCGGAAUUGCCUUUAAGACUGCAUCGCUAGAAUUGUGGAGAGGUAAGUGGAAUUCCGAGUGUAGAGGUGAAAUUCGU
rnacentral:rRNA from 1 species